AGGACGAACGCUGGCGGCGUGCCUAAUACAUGCAAGUCGAGCGGACCGACGGGAGCUUGCUCCCUUAGGUCAGCGGCGGACGGGUGAGUAACACGUGGGUAACCUGCCUGUAAGACUGGGAUAACUCCGGGAAACCGGGGCUAAUACCGGAUGCUUGAUUGAGCCGCAUGGUUCAAUUAUAAAAGGUGGCUUUCAGCUACCACUUACAGAUGGACCCGCGGCGCAUUAGCUAGUUGGUGAGGUAACGGCUCACCAAGGCGACGAUGCGUAGCCGACCUGAGAGGGUGAUCGGCCACACUGGGACUGAGACACGGCCCAGACUCCUACGGGAGGCAGCAGUAGGGAAUCUUCCGCAAUGGACGAAAGUCUGACGGAGCAACGCCGCGUGAGUGAUGAAGGUUUUCGGAUCGUAAAACUCUGUUGUUAGGGAAGAACAAGUACCGUUCGAAUAGGGCGGCACCUUGACGGUACCUAACCAGAAAGCCACGGCUAACUACGUGCCAGCAGCCGCGGUAAUACGUAGGUGGCAAGCGUUGUCCGGAAUUAUUGGGCGUAAAGCGCGCGCAGGCGGUUUCUUAAGUCUGAUGUGAAAGCCCCCGGCUCAACCGGGGAGGGUCAUUGGAAACUGGGGAACUUGAGUGCAGAAGAGGAGAGUGGAAUUCCACGUGUAGCGGUGAAAUGCGUAGAGAUGUGGAGGAACACCAGUGGCGAAGGCGACUCUCUGGUCUGUAACUGACGCUGAGGCGCGAAAGCGUGGGGAGCGAACAGG
rnacentral:rRNA from 1 species